AGUGAACGCUGGCGGUAGGCCUAACACAUGCAAGUCGAACGGCACCACAGUAAGAGCUUGCUCUUACGGGUGCCGAGUGGCGGACGGGUGAGGAAUACACCGGACUCUACUUUUUCGUGGGGGCUAACGAAGGGAAACUUACGCUAAUACCGCAUACGACCUCCGGGUGAAAGCAGGGGAUCUUCGGCCCUUGCGGGUAGGGAUGGGCCCGUGGCGGCUUAGCUUGUUGGCGGGGUAAAGGCCCACCAAGGCGACGAUCCGUAGCCGGAGUGAGAGGGCGACCGGCGACACGGGGACUGAGACACGGCACGGAGUCAUACGGGAGGCAGCAGUGGGGAAUAUUGCGCAAUGGGCGAAAGCAUGACGCAGCGACGCCGCGUGAGGGAUGACGGCCUUCGGGUUGUAAACCUCUUUCAGCAGGGACGAAUUCAGACGGUACCUGCAGAAGAAGCACCGGCCAACUACGUG
rnacentral:rRNA from 1 species